GGGCUGCCUGCUGUGCACUGGGCUCUGCACCCCACUGCCAUUGCCUCUGGAACCACGUGCCUUCCACCACUGGGCAGGCAGGGGACACGAUGCAGUCAGCAUGCAAAAGGCACAUGGAGUCGCACGUGGCACCAGAGACAGUGGGGUGCAGGCCCCAGUGUGCAGCGGGCAGCCUGCUUCCACCCCACACACAAAUCUGGGGAGACACAUGCCAACCAUGUCUCCCCCGGGGUGUGCACAGUGGCAGAAUUCCCCCUGCACCCCUGGACAAGCUGCCUGGACUCUGGCCAUCUCACCACCCACCCUGGAGCCCCAUUCACCCCAGUCUCUGCCCCUGCCUCUGCCUCACUCCUUCCCUCACUAUGAGGGCCUUGAUUUCCCCCGCCUUCCCUCCCCCACACUCCUUCCCCCGACAUGCUGGGUGCUGCUCCACACACAGCACCAUUCCUGGCUACAUGCAGCAGGCUGUGGCUGGGUGUCUGUUUGUGUGCACACCCCUCCCCCCAGCCUUCUGCUUACCACUCACAGGCCACCUGUGUAGCACUGGUGGUAUGCAUACCAAAGUUUGCAAACUGCUGCCCUAAGCCACAGAUGUCAUCCUCAUGAUGUUCUCUUUACAUGCACCACCCCGCUCUGGGCCAGAGACUCAUCAGUCUUUCCCUCAGAGUCACUCUGGAUCCUCAGACUCCUCAGCCUCUCACUUAGCCUAUCCCUGGGCUGCCAGACCCCUUGAUCUCUCACGCAGACCCUCUCUGGGCUGCCAGAUCCCUCUGGUCUCACACUGGUCUCUCUCUUAGUCCCACACUGGGCCCUCAGACCCCUCAGUCUCUCACUCAGCCCCUACCUGCACUGCCAGACCUCUUGAUCUCUCACAUGAUUCCUUCUUUGGGUCUUCAGAUCCCUGGUCUCACUCUCUCCCGGCCACUCUCUGGGCCUCUGGAUCUAUCUUGUCCCACUCUCUCCCAGGCACUCUCUGGACCUCUGGAUCCUUCUCAUCUCACUCUCUCCCUUCCUUUUCUGUUAGGGUGUGGCCCCUCAGCCUUCUCCCUCCAUGGGGUGACCCACAAGGCAGUGGAAGCUGAGGCUUUCAGGCACCCCAUAUUCACCUUUCCCUGGGGUGCAAAUGCAUAGCAUUUCAUGGAGGCUGUGCCGCCAUAGGCAGCUCCACCAUGCCAACCAGCCCCAGUAGGGUGCAGUUUCAGGUCUUAAUCAAAACCAAUUUCUAGGCCAUCCUGCUCUAUCCUGGUCCCUCUGGAGCUUCCCCUUUGUGCGGGCUGGGCGCAAGGCGUGGCCCACCUUUGCGCACGCGGGCUGUGGCCAGCAGCCCGGGCAUGCGGGGUCGGAGAAGACCGGGGGCGAGCUAGAAUUAGUCACGGAUGUGUAGUGGUUGAUUUAAAGAUUGUUUACUUACACCAAAGAUGGUCGUGGUGUAGGCUGGACAGUUUUCCAGGCACAGCUCCGCUUAAAUCCUCAUUUGAGGAUUACGACAAGUUCACUCUCUCCAACGGAGUUAUUGAAGCUCCGUGGGUUCGUUUCUUUUGUUCCAGGAAGGGAUACAUCUAGGAAUCUAUUGGCGACGGGGAGAGGCCAGAGGCUGUUCAGGCCCCUGUUGCCUUUUAAGAAAUGCGUUGGGUCCGUAAGGAUCUGCAGCGCUUGGAGAUCUUCACACAAGGCGAAGGUUUUUUCUCUCUUGAACUCCAAUUUCUCUCCAGCUUGGGCGGAAACUACUCAAGCUCUUUAUAUGGCUAGCAAGCCAAUCGCUAGCCGCCACGUGUGCAUAAUUUCACGUGAACCAAUAAUGUGGUUCAAAUUUGAAUACAAAUGGUGGGAACUCUUUGCACCGAGCAUUUCUUAGAUGCAAAAAGAAAUGCACCAUGCAAAGAAAGCUACAAAUUGGCGGGAAAUUCUCCGUUGCACCGGGGUUCUCUUCUGCAGCAGAAAACUCCACUGUGCAAAGAAGCUGCAAUUUAGCGGGAAAAUAAUUUAGCAGUGCCGAAGCACACACAAAACAAAAAUCACAACUUUGGGUUGUGACAACCUUGAUGUCACACACCCCUCCUGGACUGCAGGCUUCCAGCCCCAUUACUUGCCCUUCUUGGGCUACAGACCUCUGGGCCUCCUGGUCCUGGUUUAAUCUCACACCUGGGCCCCCUGGCCCCUGGUUCAAUUUCUCAGACCCCUUUCCUUGAACCCUUCUCUUCAGAUGGCCGUACAUCAUCCAUCUUCAUCCUAGGCCACAUGCUCCUUGACUCCCUUCCUAUCUGGCUGUGGCCACACAUGGACUUUUGGCCUACCCUGGGCCCUGGCCCCACCCAGACCAGGAAGAUCUUUGGGAUCCCUUGGCUCCAGCAAUCUCUGGCAAUGGUCCCUCUUGGAACUUUGGCCUAUCCUAGGCCCUGGACCUACCCAGGCCAGCGAGAUUCUGUGGGUCAGUCCUUCAGCUGUCAGUCCUCUCACUUGUCCCAUGUGUGCCCAACUUCAGGCCCUGGAGGAGCAGGUGAGGGAAUUCCAGGAGGAUGUCAGCAGGCUGCAGGUGAUCAGGGUGGUUGAGGAAGAGAUUGACGGGUACUUCCAUUCUCUGCUGGACCACACACCUGGUGGGAAGGUAUCACAGGCAGCAGUCGAUGCAGAAGGGUGGAAGACAGUCACCUCCAGAUCCAGACGUCACAGACCUAGACGUCAUACUACUGGUACAACUCCCACAGUGCAGCUGGGAAACAGUAUGAGGCCCUAGCAUCACUGGGAGAGAGUACAGCAACAGAGGCCACGUCUACAGUUACUACCAGGCAGGCUGAGAGGCAACUGGGCAGCCAGAGGAGAAGACAUCAUGACGACUCCCUCCUGAGAGGAACGGAGGGAGCCAUCUGCUGCCCAAAUCCUACAGUAUGGGAGGUAUGUUGCCUGCCCAGAGCUAGGAUUCGGAAUAUGACAGUGAGGCUUCCAGACCUAAUCAGAUCCUCAUCCAUGUUGGAAUGAAUGAUGCAGCCCGGAGUGGUCCGGGAUGGGUCAUGGCUGACUACAUGGCUCUGGGAGACAGGCUUAGAGGCUCGGGGACACAAGUAGUCUUCUCAUUGGUCCUCAUGGCCAGCGGUCGUGGCCAGCACCAUGGCAACUGCAUUGAGGAGGUCAACUCAUGGCUUCAGAGCCACCAUGAGGGGUUUGGCUUUCUAGACCAUGAUCCUUACUUCCAGGAUAAGACCUUGCUGGGAUGAGACAGCCUACAUCUCUUUCCAAAAGGUAAGAGUCUGUUCUCUUACAGGCUGGCAGACCUUCUACAUAGAGGUUUAAACUAGCUUUGUCAGGGGACAGGGGUGCCGAGGUCAGGACGAGAGCAGGUAGGACAAGCCAUGAACUGCAUGCUGGAAAUGAUCAGGUAAGUACUAAGGGGCCCACUAAAAAUCAGGCUAGGGGAAUACUAAGGGCACCUAUAGGGGGGUUAGGUGUCUCUAUACUAAUGCUAGAAGUAUGGGAAACAAGCAGAAGCAACUUGCACUCCUGCUUGCAGACAAAGGCUUAGACCUGGUUGGUCUAAAAGAAACCUGGUGGGACCCUACCCAUGACUGGGCAGUGGGCAUUGAAGGCUACAGGCUAUACAGGCAGGAUAGAUCUAUCCUGCUCUAUAUGUUAGGGAACAUUAUACAUCCUCUGUAAUAAAGAUGGGGACAGAGGACUGGCAAAUCGAAGGCCUGUGGGUCAGAUUACAAGGGGGUAGAGAGGUAAGGGACUUGGUAGUGGGGGUGUAGAACCUCACGCCAGGGUUUCUGAAAAUUUCUAAGCGCUGGUUUUUGUUUGCAGUUUUACAAAAAAUUUUAAUUGCUUGGCCAAAACAAAAUUUGUUUUACUUUAAUUUGAAACAAAAUGAUUCCUUUUCCAUUCAACUUGAUUUGAAUUUACAGUGAAAAAAUGCUGUUUUUUGGAUUGUCUUUUUCUUUGCUGGAAAAUAGGAAUAAACAUGAGAAAAGGAGAAGAAUAGCAGAAUAUAUUAAAGUUGGAACACUUCAAAGAACACAGUUGUUAAAAGUUAUUUCAUAAAAAAGUCAUCAUAGAAAAAUGUUGACCAGCCCUACUUUUUUUCCAAAUCAAUCUGGUUACAUUAGUGCAACCCUCACACACACGCUCCUAAAUUGGUUUAAGAAUUCAUGAUAUCGAUUGAGUUUAAUCUGAUAACAAACCAAAUUAACUUAAAUCUGUAUAAAGGCACUCUAACUGAUUUAAGAGUAUCCACGGCAAUAUAACCACAUCAAUUUCAAAAUCCAAUUUCUGUGUAUAGUACAGAUUUUGAGUCAAUGAAAUAGCAUAUUGCCACACAAUAAUUGUCUCCUGCUUUGAAAAACAAACCUACCUUUAUUCUAACCUUUAUUUAACAUUCUUAUUUGAGAUUCUUGUUUGGUGACAAGUUUCAGUGAUUUUGCUUUACAUGGUCCUAGGCUAGGGAAUAGCCACAUAGAAGUAUGAGUCAAUGAAGCCAAAAUGGAUAAAGCUCAGAACUUUCCCUCCAUUUUAAACCUGAUUUGUCUUAUCAUGACUGCCAUGUGGCCAUGAGAAAGGCAUUUCUUUCUCAAAGAUAUAAAGACCUCCCAUAUUUAAGUUAAAUUCCUGGCUCCACAAAACUUCUAUUGAUUUUAACGAGGCAAGGAUUUCACUUCCAGAGCCAGGUCUUCUUCCUCGUUUCCUUUGCAAGUAGGUGGUUAAAAAGGCCUACAUAUUCCAGGACACUAACAUCUCUUAGAAGGAGCUCCCUAAAACAGUUCUGGUUUGGAGAAAUUCUCCACUGAAUUUCUCCACUGUAAAUACCACACUUGUUAAAUGUAUUAGGGAAAACCAGCAGAAAAAAAAUGUAAUCUCCUGUGAAAUCUGGCAGCAUUGGGAUGUCAGUAUCCGAGUACAAAGAAAGGAAAAGUCUUGAACGACAAUCUAGACAUCAUCAUUGUGGUUGUAGAGGCAACACAGGCCAAAGUGGGCUAGACGAUCUCAUAGGGCGCCCACAGAUGUUUAGGCAGCCUACUGGGGAGCUGCUCUAACUCAUGGAACUUUACACAAAGCACCAAAUAUUAGAGUGCUGUUGAACCCCAUGUGUGUUUGCCUGUUGGGUGGAAGGAGGGGGGAGAGGGUUGAGUCUGCCUGCAGUGGCCCUGACCAGCAGGCAGAGGCACUCCAGCAGCCUCCCAGGAGACUGCCAGACUACCCCUCUCCCCAACCAUGACCCCUGUCAUGUGGCCCCUGCCAAAUACCCCUACUGGAGUUGCCGGGGGAGUUGGGCUGGGCUGCAUGGAGCAGGGAGCUCUGUUUCCUCCCCAUAAGCAUCAGGUUUCCUAAGUUGCUCUGCCUUAGAGAGACUCUAGCUAAUUGCUGAUUUUUAAAAUUAAUUUAAAAGGGUUUUUUUGUGCUAUUGGCCAUUUUAAAAGCACUCUGCAGCCAUGAGCAUUUAUGUUAUAGCUGUAGAAUGGUUUCAGGGGCCUCAUUUCAUGAAAAAUUAAUUUCAAAUGUAAGUGUCAAAAUGUGUAAAUUUCCUUGUGUAGAGCUCAAUUUUUCAGCCACGUUAAGAACAUAUCAGCAAGACUGAAAAAGUUGUGGGAACAAACGAGAAAAGUCCAGUGGCCAUUUAUUAAAGUCACCAAUUUCCAACAGUUACCACAAAGUAGAAUUUCAGAUGCUGUAGCUAGAAUCUUUUCUAAGUAGAGAGAAAGCAGUGAUGUCUCAAAUAAUACUAGGUGGUCAUUUGAAGAAAAUGUAGACAGUCUUCAGGUGACCAUGUGAACUGAGAGAGUUAGUACCCCAUAUCAUGUCAGGGUGUGAGAGAACCCCUGCCCUCCCUGGGCUCCGAACCUCACACACACCCACAGCCCCUCACCAGACAUCUGAAUACUGUGCUCUAUCAAGACAUCCCUGAAAGCAUCUCUGGAUAGGUAAGUUUAUACUAUCUUUUUUUCCAAUGUAGAAUUAUUUUAUAUGGCUACCGUAACUGAUAACACAAUGUUUUAUGAUUACUAAAUGUUUUGAUGUUGUUUUAAUACAUAGUCUGUAUUACAGGUUGGCUAGGCGCUAUGAGUGUAUCAGCCGUGAGGCUGCUGGGUUUGGGAUCGAGGAGGCAAGUCAGGAGUGAAGUAAAGGCAAAUUUACUUAAAGCUUAGCAUACAACAGUUAACAGAAAGGUUAAUGUGACAAAUAGAUAGUACAGUAUUAAAGAGCUAAUAGGAAUAAUAACAACAGAUAGACAAAAUGACAGAGUUCCCACAUGGGGUUGGCAACUUAUCAGAAGUCCCUCUAUGCCAGGUGCAUGCCAAGUUGUUCCAGUGAAGUCAGGCGUCCCCAAUCAACACUGUCCGAGGGGUCACCGGUAAGGUCCCUUGGUCAGGAUCCAGUCUUCACUCACCCUGGGAGUUCGGGUUUCAGGCUUGGUACAGCGAUGGUCCUUCUGUCCCAUCCUUCUAACUGGUUACUUGACAUGCAUGUUCCUUUAUGCCUUAUUUUAUGCUAAUCUGUUGGCUUUAGAGUCACUCACAAUUGUGCCCUAUAGCUGUUACCCUAUGGGAUCAAAAGGUGUUAGAAAUUAUCAUGAAAGGCUAACGCCUGGACUCGGAUUCACUCAAUAAGCAAAUUACACCACAUUACUUUGAGGUUUGAAAUUAGCAUUACUCUUCCCAAGCUCAACCCCUUAGUUUCUUAUUCCCAGAUUCCUUGGAAUGUGCUAAUUAUAUCAGGUGGUCAGAUCUGGUUAUGGCUUGACCUUUAAAAAACCUGUUAGAUCAGCUAAUCUUAUAGUUCUGCUUGUUUUGGGGGCCCAUGAUCAGUACAAACAGUUAGAUUCAACACUGGUUAACUUGUGACAGACAAAUUCCACUUGCAGGUUGCAAACUUGCAAGCUUUGCAUUAGCUAAUCUUGAGUGCUUAGACAAUUGCCUGAAUGUCUCUAAGACCAUGUAUUUAUUGCAACAACAUUUAUUCUGACAUAGACAUAGGACUUCGUUUUAUAACAACAUCUAAGGAUUAUAUUGAGUAAUAUCAAUCCUAUAACUAAACCUUUUACUACUGCAAGCCAAGGAAAAGGAGCACCUUUGGUAAAGGUAUACAUUUGUACAGUACAGGCCACCUCAUACCACUUACACAGUGGGGGAAUAUUAGUAGUACAUUAGAUAAUUCACCCUCCUUCUUGAGCUAUGAGGGCAUGUUGUUUUGCUUUUCAGGCAGCUUCAAACAAACCCUUAAUGUGGGCUGCCACUUCAUUCCAUCCCUCUAACUUGGGCAUAUCUACAUCUUGAACCCAGGAUUUUGGAAGACUUAGGUUAAGGGUGAUGCUUUCUAAUUGGGUUUUUGGCCACAUUAAAGUAGUUUCCUGGUGUUGGACAUAUAAAAUAGCUGAUGCUCCUUGAAGAUCUUGAGCUUCUGCACAGCAGCUGGCACAAGAGGCCCAAUACAUGCCGUUGGGAUGGUACAAGCGGCUAGGACCUUCCCAAAAAACUCGCUGGGCUAGGGUAAUAUAGGGAGUUGCUGGUAGGGUUGUUAUACAAAUCAUGUUGGGGGGACUAUUGGGCCACCCCCUACAUAAAGUUCCCAAGCCUAUUAAAAUACCAUUUACAAGGUACACCGGGGAUUGAGCUAAAUACUUGGGGCCUUCUGGGUUUACAAUUUCCCAAAUGGGAUGAUUUAAGUCCCUGUCCCACAUACACCCACCCCCCAGUCCUGUUGUUAAGAGAUGGGCAGUGGACCAUGUGCAGUUUGCUACCCAAUGCACAACAAAAAAGCAUUUUGUAUUGCUACAUCCCUCCCAUCGUGUGCUCCAUGUGUCUUGGUAAACUAACCGUUGGGCUAAAGCUGGGGGUAGCCCAUGGUGCUCUAAACUGAUAGGCCAUUCUUUAUGUCUGAGAUCACUUAUUACCUUGGAGAAAUAAAGGUUAAGUGAAAGCUGUACUUGGGCACAAGCAGUGCUCCAGGUUUGAUUAGCAUUGGCUUGGAAGGCCACAUGCAUUAAAAGGUGACUUAUUUUUGCUGCUUCUCGGCCAAUGGUUGCCACUAACUCAUCAGUGUACUUUAGGGUCAUGUUAUUAAUCAUACCCACCUUUAGUGAGAAAACCUAUGGCUCGCCAUAUAUUCAUGAUUCCUUGAGUGUUUUUCUGAGAUUUAUCUAUGUUCCAAACUCCCAUGGCUGAAUUGAUCACAUUCCACAUGUGAUCUAGGGCAUCUUUUUUUUUCUCGGGUGGUUGAAAGUUGGGCUCCGGGUUGGAAAACAGGUGGCCAGGCCCAUCGCAGCAUGUUUUCCGCCAACCAAGCACCCAUAGAGCAGUUGGGAAAUGCUGCUAUGACAAACCAUUGCUCGGGCUUAAAUGUGAUGCAAGCAUUAAACAAGGAGUCAUUAAGGAGGACCGGAGCCUUGGUUUGGAAACUCCAACAUGGGGUGAUAUUAGUCAAACUGGGUAGCAGAUACACCUGUGGUAGCUCCUUCUGGAUUAACAAUGUGCAUCCCUGGUUAAUGCAGAAAAUGGCUAGGGGUUCCCCUGCAGGUGCUUAACCAUCUCCCUUCUCCCUGAGAUUGGUAAACCUCCCAAUCAGGUCAGUCUAUUGGUUUGGGUGAGUUCCUGCCUGUGUACUUAAAUUUACAUUGCCGCGGCAUGACCAUGGCUUUGGUAUCUUGCAAAGAUGAUUCUGGCAUGGUGCCCCCUAAGGGCUUGGCCAGGUGUUCUGGGCUGACCAGGGCAGUGCCCUGCAGACUUUCCCAAACUGCUUGGCGAUAUGCAGCUACUGUGUAUUCAAGUCCGUGAGCGUGCCCUCCUUCAUCCAUAUGGCAAAACCACAAAAGACCCGGAAUGUAGGAUUUGUUAGACUCCCAUUCCGUGGACCUCCACUUGAUAGCAUAGGUGCCGUUUUUAAACCACUACAGUACCUUGCUGUAUCUGGAGGACCAGUGUAUUUGGUGAGCCACACACCAUUACACCAAAGUAUCAUUGGGCAGGGGAAUCAAUGGAGCUAUCAUCUCCCAUGGAAGUGGGGUGGGAGGGUUCGGCCACUUUCUUGGGCUUCAGGUGGGUGUAGAAUUUUGAGCUACAGGCGUGGCAGUGGUAGUGAUCACAUCAGGACUCAGAGUGGGCAGGAUAUCUGCAGGCAGAAUGUAACAGCACCAGGGCCAUUGCCAGAAACCACAAUCCCCCCCUGUUCCGUACUCAUUUUUUCCCAGCCUGGCAUAUGGGAGAAAACCGAACAACCACCCCAUUCCACAAUAACAUUUACAGGUCCCCCCUUGCCAAUCUACAAUCCACUGUCGGCAACUUUCAGGCCAGUUCCGCACUUCUUCAAUUAUAGCAGGCCUCUCCCAGUAGCGCAGCCUGACUGAGGCUUUGGCAGUGGGUGCAACCCGGGGCAUGGGAGCAUGUGAAUGCCCCACAUUAGUCAAACAGUGACAGACAAGCAGCAGUUCUAUUAAGAUGGCAUUCCACCCCUUCAUUGUUAGACAAGGGUGGCGGGUGGCAGUGUCACUCUGGAGCAGGGUUGUGACCCCAGGCUGCCUCCAAGGCUGCUACGGCUGUGCCCGCUAAUGGACCCAAUCUGCAGGAACAAGGAAAAAUGGAGUCUGGCUUCCAUUAGAUGGAUCUCACCUCAACACCCACCAUGAGUUAUGUGUGUCUCAUGCCAUUAACACCCCUUCCCACUUGUCCCCCUGCAGGUGCCUAACCACUGCCUGUCCCCUGCCUGGAGCUUUCCUCAGCCACCCCUUGGCCGUUCCACUGCCAGCUCGCGGGGCCCCCCCUGGCCAAAUGCUUGCUGCAUGGUGUUUCCUCUGGGGUGGGGCCGAUUGUUGGCCCAGUUAAUUGAGCAAUCAGGUGUAAGUCCCAGUUCUUGAGGACCAGGCUAGCUGUUGCCCUGAGGGGUCAGGUCAAAGCUCAGGAUCUCAAUAUUGCACUGUUAGACAGGAGGGUGUGCUGUACAAUUGCACAUGCACACAUAAAAAUAAAUUAAGCACACGUACACUCACUAGGUGCAUACACCCCUACUAGGCAUACACACCAACACUAGCAGCUCAGAUACACACACGUUCAAAAUAAUUAGUCUAGGUUCAUGCACACCUAUCACCAGUUUAAGCCCAAACACACACCAAAUUUAGACAGAAUCAGUUACUAGUAACUAACACCUGCACAUCCAAUACACAUAUGUGGAUUACUAAUUCAUAUACCACACACACACACAAUGAUAUUUAUAUAUGUGUAUAUAUGUGUAUUCACUAAUUCACACACAUACCACCCACCUACACAUACACACAGGUGAAUUCCUAAGUUGGGUGUUGUGAUGUGUAUGUAUGUAUAUGCUCAAUGUACUUGGGAUACCUGGGGAAAGUUUAAGGUAAGAAAGUAAAAGUGUAAGGAUUUAAAGUUACCAGGACUGGGACUAGAACCAGUAGACUGCAGGGGCCUGGGCUGAAGAACUGAGGCUUGGGGUAACUUUAGGUUAAUUGAUCUUAAUUGAUUAAAAGACAAUGCCCAAAGCCUGCAGAACAGGGAAGCAUGCCGGCACAGAGGCUGGGUUUGGAGCCAGAGCUACGGAGAAGCUGAAAAGGUAGAUGGGGAGAGGGAAAAAUGGGACUAAGGGAAAGUGUGGGUGUUAAAGAGGGGCUCUGGGUGUGCGGGAGUCAGAGGAUGGCUCUGGGGCACCUAGAGAAGCCUGGGAAGCUGCAGGGGUGGCGGGGGAACGCCUGAAAACAGAGAGACAGACAGCAGAAAAUUGCAGGAAGAGCAGCAGGAGAGACUGAAAGGCAGCAGGAAAGCAGAGAAAUGCAGUAGAAAGUCACAGGGAAAAAGCAGUAGGAGCGUGGGAAGCAGGGGGACAGCAGAAAAUUACAGGAAAAGCGGCAGAAGAGACUGAGAGGAAGCAGAAAGUCACAGGGAAAAGGCAGUAGGAAAAGGAGAGGAGAUCGGGAAACUAGUGGAGAGGGGUGGAGGCUGGAAUUGAGAGAGAGAGAGAGAGAAUGAGGCUGGAAUUUAAGAUAAGGAAGGGACUAGGAUUCAGUAAAACAUGACCCAACUUGGGGUUGCAAAUGACAGUGGUUUUAUUGAACAGGGGAGAUGGUAACACAAUGCCACAUUGGUUCCCUUGCACCCACACACCCACCCACCCACACACAGUGGCAGCUUGGGUUACAGAGACUUGGUGCAGGGGCUGAAGUCCACUGAAAUCCAGUAAGAGAGAGACAGAGAGAGUAAGUGAGAGUCCAAAUUGUAGGAGGAGGUGUACAGGUAAUAUCUACCUAUCCCAGGCUGGAAGUUGAUCCUCGAUGGCCAGUUGGGGGUCUCCUUCAGCUUGGUGAUGUCCAGAGGGUGUCGCUGGCAGGGCCUCUGGAGUGGAUAGGUGAUGUGAAGCUGGUCUGGUCCAGAUGGAAAUGGUGUUCCCACUGUGUCUGUCUUCACUGCCCCUUUUUAUAGGGGCAGACCGUGUGUGACCCUAGUGACAGGAGGCAUGCCCAGGCAAGGGUCAGCCCCGAUGUACUGAGCAUGUGUGAUCCAUGCAGGGAUGUGUAGUUUCGGGUGUCUGUCAUGGUGGGGUACAAUGAUAGAGUUGCUGUUUCUGCAGGGUCUUUUGUUUUUCAAAUGCUGGUCUUGUCUCUGUUCCUGGGUGAGGUCCAUGGUUCCUGGGUGAAUUAAUGCGAGGUGAUGGCCCAGUCAUUACAGGCCAUUCAGUAGAGGCCUCCUACCAUUGUAUUUCAGUCAUUCUCAAUCAUUCUCAUUCAUCGGGGAACCAAUUUACAUGGGAGGGGUACAAUGAAUCAUAUUAUUGCAACAUGGGAUGCCCAGGCAGAGGACACAAGAUGGAGGCCUGACAUAUAAAAUGGAAACUUGACAUGACUUUGAUUCACUUAAAAACACAGGCCUAAACCAUAUAAUAUCCAUAAUAAUAAAAAUCAAUACGACAAUAUACAACAGUAAAAAUUAGUACAAACCUAAUAAUUAUACGAUAUAAAACAAUGGAUAUCCAAAACCAAAAACUUGCUAGCAAAAUAAAAUGUUUAAAGCUUAUCCUAAGUUUGAGCUUACUUAUACUUAUCUAUAGAGAAUAGAGAGGGAGAGAAAAGUCAGAAAUGGUUGGGGAAGGGGAGGGAAUGCAUUUUAAAAUUAAAAAAAAGAAAAACAGGGUUUUGCUACACAGCGGCCAUUCUCAGGUUGCACUUUAACAUACCGUUGGCCCGUUCUACUAGUCCAUUAGAUUGUGGGUGAUAGAAAAUGUGAUAGGUCCACAGCACAUGAUGUCUCGCAGUCCACUCAUAGACAAGAUGGUUGUAAAAAUGUGAACCGUUGUCACUUUGCAGCUCCACGGGAGGUUGGUAGAUGGCUAACAGGUCUUCCAGUGCUGUACAGGUAUCCUUUGCAGUGGCCUUGGCGUAGGCCCAGACGAACAUCAUUCCGGUGAUCGCUUCCACUGCUACAAACACAUACUGUCACUUUCUGGGGGUGCAGGGGAGCAGGCCUAUAAAGUCAAAUUGCCAAACUUGCCAUUUUACCUUUCCAUCGCGUAACAACAAAGGGGUAGUUGAGGCAGGGGUCAGUCGAGCUUUGACCUCCUGACAGGUAAUGCAGGAGUUGACUAAUUCCUGCUCUUCCUUUUUAGUUAGGUGAAUGCCCCAGGUGGCUGCUAGGUGAGCAGUGCCACCGCGGCCAGGGUGCCCAUGCUGCCAAUGCAGUUAUUCUGCGGCUAGCGCUCCAAGGGUCUGCCAGAGGGAGGGGCUGGGUGGUUUCUCUGGGGGUGAUUGAGUCUCUACUUCAGCAACAAGGGUUUUUGUGCUGCCUUUGGCUAGCUUAUCCACUUGCCUGUUCCACUUUGCCUCAGACCCCUCAGCUUUUCUGCUCCAUGUGCUGCAUUGACAUGUUGUAUGUAUGGGAAGGCCUCCCUGUGCCAUUUUCCACAAGGCCUCCCACUUUUCAUGGCUCCAGAUGUCUCUUCCCCGCCUUUUGAAGUUUUCCCUUUUCCGCAAGGGUAGCCACUUGGUGCAACCCCCCACUACCUUCCAUGAAUCGCAGUAGAUAUAAAUGGGCCUUGUAGGGUGGCCUAGUCCCUCUACCAGUUCAUACUUGGCUACUCUGACUACAGUGGCUAGCUCAGCAUGUUGCGCACUGACCACCUCCCCCUAGUGUGAGUUGCUUACCAUCUCCGUAUGGCAGCCCUCCUCCAGGUAUGACCUUUGGCUGAGCUGUCGGUAAACCAGACUUCUAUGUCUUCUGAAAUGUUCAUGUUGGGUGAAAAGGGAGGUGCUUCUUUGAUGGGAUAUAGCUCAUCAGAGCUGGCUGCAUCUGGGUAUACGUUAAUCGUGCUUUCUGUGAUCUUUUCCACUAGCGCCAGAUGCUCCUUUGGGGUUACCCGCUGAGCCUGACUUAAAAUAUAAUAGAUCCAUUUUUGCACUGUUGUUUCUUGGGCUUUUCCCCGUGGCGGGAGGUGUCAGUCAGACAAUGCCAUUCCCAGGAUGGGCACUGGGGUGGUUAUGACAGUGGGUAGGCUCCCCUCUCAGGGCCUCUGUGGCUUCUAAAGCUGCGGCUGCUGCACACAGUAUUUGUUUUAGCAGGGUGUAUUGGGCUUCAGUCCCUUUCCAGCCUCUGCUUCAAAACCCAAGGGAUUUUCCCUCUGUCUCAGGUGUAUCCCUCUGCCAUAAACUUCAGUGGGGUCCCCUGUCAGACACAUUUACAUGGAGCCAAAGCUCCCCUUCUGGGCGCUGUGCUGCUAGGGAGGUGUGGGUGGUUACUGCCUCCUUGAGGGCCCGAAUGGCAUGUUGGUGCUCGGGGCUCCAUUCCCACUGUGUCUUUUUCUUAAACAAAUUAUACAGAGGUCGGGCCAACAUGCUAAACUCGGGGACAUGCAGGCAUCAGAAGUGAAACACUCCCAGCUGGGCUUGCAGUUCUUUUACAUUGUUGGGGGCAGGGGUAUCUACCAGGCCCUGCAGCUCUUUAGCCAGUAUGGUGGGUCCACCUUGCUUCCAUUGGAUUCCCAGGAAUUCACACUGGGCCCCAACUUCUUGGAUCUUUUUGUUGGACAGUGUGAACCCAAACACCUGCACCUUCUCCUUUAGGGACUCAAAAGCACAAAUGAUUAAUUCCCGGUCUUGGCCUCCCACCAUGACAUUGUCGACAUACUACCAAACAUGCACCUCCAAAUGACCUAAUUGGACUUCAUGGACCAACUAGCACUCCAUGGGCCAAGGUGGGGCUGUGCACCCAACCCUGGGGCAGAACUGUGUAGGUGUACUGCUGUCUCAGCCAUGUGAAGGCAAACAAAGGCCAGUGAUCUUCAUGGGUGGGGAUAGCCCGAUGUUCCAUGACCUCACUGGCCCUGCCAGCCAUGAAGGGGGUACACCUCCUGAGGCAACACAACCCAUCCAGGACAUUAUCCACCGGCAGCUGGAGGAUGGAACCAUCAUUCAAACUCAUUCCCUUGACAACAACCCGGUGUGGCCGGUACAUAAACCAAAUGGGGUUUGGCAAUUAGCUGUUGAUUUUAGGGCUUUGAAUGCCAACACUGACCAUCUGACGAUCGCGGUCCUAUCCAUGCCUGCACUAACGGAAAGCAUUAAGUGUUACGGCCCCCAGUGGAUGGGAUCCGUGGACAUUAAAGGCAUAUUCUUUGCUAUCCCCACGAAGAUCACUGGCCUUUGUUUGUCUCUGAUAUCCCACUAUACAGACACUGCCAUACCCUUUUGGGAAGGUGGGGGGAGGGUGCUCGACUGACUGCACCACUUGUACCUUUCUCUUGAGGGAGGUGAUUGCCUGUGCAACUAGUAUUUUCCCCUCCCGAUGCUCUAGUAUCUCCAGGUGGUUUUGUUCUGCUCUGGCCGCUGCGCAAGCCACGCUACUAGAAUACUUUUCUUCCCUUGAUUCCCUCUCAAGCUGGGUUAUUCACUCUUUUAGGGAUUGGUUCUCCUCAUGAAACUGAGUGGCCUCCUCCACCCCCAGUCUUAAGCAAGUUGCCAACAGCCAAGACAAGCAUCCUUUCUUGGGUCUACCCUUCUGCAUGGCAGCGAACGCGGCCCACUGACAAGGUACUGUGGCGGGAUCACUCCAGGUACAUCACGAACAGGUCUAGGAAGGUGAUACUUCCCCUCUAUGUGGUAUUGGUCAGGCCACAGCUGGAGUACUGCAUACAGUUUUGGACGCUGCACUUCAAGAGGGAUGUGGAUAACCUGGAAAGGGUUCAGAGGAGGGCUACUCAUAUGGUUGAGGGCCUACAGGUCUGGCUCAGCUGUCACUUCACAGUCAUCAGUACCCUGUGAUGGUCACCCCCAGCAUCAGGACCUGCCUGGGGAGAACCCUUAAGGAUGCCACGCAGGCCAAGUAUGUUGGUGACCUGAAGGAGAAACCUGAUCAGAGAAAAGUCUUUCAGGUCACUUCAAAGUGGGAUGCUAACAAAUUCAUGCCCCACAGGAACUUCAUGCACUUCACAGACUGGUGCGUCACAGCCUGUCUCAGCUGCUUUCCAGUCAAUGGCACUGUCCAAUACAGCUGUAGAGACAAGAGGUGCCAGAGAUAUGGCAGAGGGAAUCCCUGAGAGGAAGACCCUGCCUCACACCACAUGUGGCUGUAAGCCCCAUGUGAGAGCCUGGGAACUCUGCCAUGAUGCCAUACAGAACCAGUUGGUGAAAGCCAUCUCAGGGUCAGUUAGGAUAGUAGCUGUGAACUAUGUUGUCCCAGACUACCACAGCCAGCUGCACCUGAACUUUGUGGUAACAGACAAGGACAACAAAAAGAUGAUUGAUGUGACCAUCCCACUCAGGAAAAAGUGGCAGGCUUUCACUGAAGCCCAGGAGCAAAAGCUGUCCAAGUACAGGCCACUAGCUGAUUCCUUGAGGGAGAAGGGGUACAAUGUAAUGGUGCAGACAGUGAUCUUUAGGUAGUUGAAACAUGGGACACAAGCACUGAGAGCAUCUUACAAGCCUGCCAAAGUACCUUGCUGCUAUAUUAAAUCAUCUGAUGGUUCUCCAAUAUGAAGACAGAUAGCUGAGACCACCUACGAGAUGCAAGACCAAGAGGAUGGACUGAAACCCCCCAUGCACACCAUACACUCACAAAUUCUAUUAAUGCCCUUGAAUACUACUCACACUCACAAUUGUAUACCAUAUGUUAAAAUCAUUGUGUAACAAUGUUUUACAACCCUACAACUCUGUACUGAUGUGGUUAUCCUGCAUAGGGUCUUGUUUCUCUUUACUCUACAGCAGGGCUUUCAACUUUUUUCCAUAUGUGUACUCCCAGCAGCUGAAUGAGGAGCUGGGGGGAAAGGAGGGUGUACGCAACCAAACACAGAGUGGGGUGGGGUGGCAGUGUGUGGCUGGAUGUGGAGCGGCGGUAGUGCAGGGUGGCUUUGGCUUCUGCCAUAUACAAACUUCCCUCCCUGCCCUUUGCAUCUGGCUGGCCAGGUAGUGCUUGUGUGGCCUGCAGAGGGGUGCCACUGCUUUUGCCCCCCCCUUGCCCCGCACCUCAAAUUCCCACAGCCCAGAAAGCAAUAGUGGCCCUGUGGUGACAGUGGUAGUGGAGGUAGAUGGGUGUGACAGGGUGCUUUCCCAGGGCUAGAUCUCGAGUUAGCCCACCCUCCUGUCUAGGACAGUCUGCCCUGACUCACCUUCACCAGGGAGGUAACUGGCCUGGAAUAUCUUGGGGGUUGUUCCACUACAAACAGCCCUGCCAGGCCACCCUUCCCUGGCAGGGUGCAGUUUCAGGUCAUGCCAUGACUAAGAGCCUCCUGCCAUCCCCAUAGCUCCUGCCCUUACCUCCAAGAUGUUCACCGAGCAGUAGGUCAGCCAGAUAAUGUUACUCCCUCGGCAGCUGGCAGCAAACUGCUGCCCCUGCCUGGCUUUCCUAAGUUUGAAAAUAACCGCCUUAAUAAAGCACCUGCCAGCUGCCUGCCUCCUGCCCUUAAAGUAGCAGGCACCCAAAGGUGCACUUCCACAAUGGGCAAACAGGCUCCCCAUCCCUGUCCACUUUCCUGUGCUGGCAGGAAAGUGCUGGCAACCACAGGUGAG